rnacentral:lncRNA from 10 species
ACAGGAUUAAAUGAAAUGUUGCAUAACUAGAGUUUACUAUUCCACCUGGCAUGGGGUGUUAGAACAUCUGCUCCAAAAGACUUCAGGCAAAGAUGGAAUUUAUUUUCUCACUUAACUGAAAAAGUCCACAGGUAGCCUUGCUGCCAGUAUAGUUGGAUUCUGGGCUCAAACAAUAUCGUUAGGGCUUGGGUGUUUUUUUUUUUUUUUUUUUUUUUUUUCUGUGUUUCUCCUCUCUGCCUCCCGCUGGAUUGAAUUCAUGUGCAACCUCCUCGUCAUCACUUCUGGAACUUCUAGGCUCUCUGUGCUUUAUGACAAGAUGACUGCAGCAGUCCUAAGCUCAGAUGUGCCUUCCACCUUCCGC